rnacentral:rRNA from 1 species
AUUGAACGCUGGCGGCAGGCCUAACACAUGCAAGUCGAGCGGAGCGGCGGACGGGUGAGUAAUGCCUAGGAAUCUGCCUGGUAGUGGGGGAUAACGUCCGGAAACGGGCGCUAAUACCGCAUACUAUCAGAUGAGCCUAGGUCGGAUUAGCUAGGUGGUGGGGUAAAGGCCUACCAAGGCGACGAUCCGUAACUGGUCUGAGAGGAUGAUCAGUCACAACUGAACUGAGACAAGGUCCAGACGCCUACGGGAGGGAGCCGGGGGGAAUAUUUGGACAAGGGCGAAAGCCCGAAUCCGCCAUGCCGGGUGAGGGAAGAAGGUUUUUGGAUUUGAAAAGCAUUUAAGUUGGGAGGCGUUACCAACAGAAUAAGCACCGGCUAACUUCGUGCCAGCAGCCGCGGUAAUAC